rnacentral:lncRNA from 1 species
GAGGCUUCACCUUCCACACUAAUUUUCUUUUGACAUUUUUAGAUAUCAUCUUUGGUUUUUGUUUGUUCUUUUUUUCUUCCAAAUAUUCACGAAGACAAGAUUUUCCAGAAGCUGUACUUUACGGCCUGUACAUUAUAACUCCUGAACCGGUGCUAGUCACUAGUAAAUAUAGUUGUUUAUAAGAUUUUACCUAUGUGAUUGUUUGAUGAUUGAUCACAUUACUUGGGUUAAAAACUAAAUGGAACUUUGAUAAUGAUAUGUAG